CAGGGAGAAAGGACCUGUGACAUAGGCCUUCCCUUCUUCAGGCAGCUUGGCUUUGGGGACUGCAACCCAUCAGCUCUGACAGCUCAGUCCUUGCUGGUUCACCUCCCAUCCCAGGAGGAUGCCGUGUGGCUGGAGGCAGCAGCAGGAGGGAAAGCAGGAGAAGCAGUCAUGGAGAAGUCCAUCUUCACAGGGAUUUGGCUCUUGCCCUGAAGGGAGCCUCACAGAUUCCAGACGGCUGCACAAGUCAAAGCAUCACGCCUCUACAGUGUCCCAGAGCCAGGAGAGAGGCUGUUGUUUUUAAAGGCAAGAAGAAUUCCCCAAACUUGGCCAGAAUCGGAGACAAGAUGGAGGGAGAACCACUUUCCAGGCUGGCCACCGACAUGCCCGCGUACAGACACACUUCCUGUGAAACCACGGAUGCAGAUGCUCCAAGCGUAAGCAGCCAGCGUCUUGGAGGUUUCACCAGCCCUCCUUCCCGAUCUUGUUAAUAAAAUCCAAGGUUCCCUUUGCAGUGAAGAAGGGAACACCAAUGCUGUA